GCCGCAACUAAACUUCUUAUUAAAAUUUAGAGAAAAUUCUCAACUCAAAAAGUAUUUUGUAAAAAAUAACCUAUCUUAAUUAACCGCAAGGACUAUUACUCAGCUUUAUCAAGAAAUGAUAAUAUCAUGUCCCUCUUGCAUCAUGGAGAAGCAACAAAAAUACAUUAAUAUAUACUCCCGAAUAACCAUGAGCUACUAAUCCCUAAAAUCCAAUGUUUCAUAAUUGGUAAAGUAACUUUUAGUAGGAGUAACAAGCCUUUCAUAUGGUUAUAUAGCUGGUUUUUCUUUAAAAGCAUCAAAGUGCUGGCUUAUAGUAUAGCUUUAGCAUCACAUUCUAUAAAGCUUAGCCUGUUGAGGACUAGCUCAACAAGAGCUAUAAAAUAUCUUAUCCUUCAGCCCCAUUAGUAGGCUUAAAAGCAGCCACCCAAUAGCGUUCUAGCUAAUGUAAGUGCCUUAUUAAAUAUUCACAUCACCCAUUUUAAAACUAAAGAAAUCUGAAAAAAAAUUUUUUUUCACCAAACAGGCAUUCUAUUAGUAUUUAAUGUAAAGUAUUACUCAACACUUUUAAAAAUUUUGAGCCAAAAACCUUUAUCCCCUAAAAUAUACAAAGCGAACUCGGCAAAUAAGUUCCCUGCCUGUUUACCAAAAACAUCGUUUUCUGAAAAUCCACUAUAGAAAAUAAUGCCUGCCCAGUGAAGUUUAAACGGCCGCGUUAGCGUGAGCGUGCUAAGGUAGCGUAAUAAUUAGCCCUUUAAUUGGAGGCCAGUGAAUGGCAAGACUAGGAACACCUUUACUCUGUAUAUAAGAAAAACUUUUCGUCUAAGUGAAAAGACUUAGAUAAUAAAGGUAGACGAAAAGACCCCGCGGAGCUUUACCUUUUCAUAUAUAAGUGUGUACUUACUCCAAGUAUAUAAGGUUUGAUUGGGGCAAUCUUGGAACCAAUAAAGCUUCCAAUUUGUUAACAAAACUUAUUUAAAACUUAAUAAGGACCAAAAGAAGUUACCCCGGGGAAACAGCGUAUCCACUUAAGAUACUAUCGAAGAAUAUCCACAUAAGUGCAACCGCUAUGACAGGAUAGUCUGUUCGACUAUUAUACCCUUACACGAGCUGAGUUAAGACCGGCGCAAGCUAGGUUGGUUUCUAUCUCCUUUAAACCAAAGAUCUUCUUGAUUGUACGAAAGGACCCCAAGAGAUGCACACCAGAAGCAUCUUUAUCAAUCACCUCAUAUUUUUCCAC
rnacentral:rRNA from 1 species